rnacentral:SRP_RNA from 1 species
GCCAGGUGUGGUGGUGUGCACCUGUAGUCCCAGCUACUCGGGAGGCUGAGACAGAAGAAUUGCUUGAAUCCAGGAGGCGGAGGUCGCAGUGAGCCGAGACUGUGCCACUGCACUCCAGCCUGGGUGACAGAGUGAGACUCUGUCUCAA